GGAUUCGUCCAUUAGGUUGAGUUGAUCAAAAAUCAAACAAUGUCCUACUAUAAGCGAGAGGGUGGAAUUAAUUCCAAACUCUUUUACUUUGAUUAAAUCAAGGUGCUUAAAGCAAAAUCUUCUGUUAACGAAUGAUGAAGCAUGGUAUAGAAUUAAAACAGAACAGAAAGAAUAACGAAUAAAUGGAGAUGGGCAACCAUUCGAAAUUUAUUUAUUUUUGUUUUGUUUAAAACAAGGUUAAGAGAAAUGAUUAGGGUGAUUUAGAUAGGAA
rnacentral:rRNA from 1 species